rnacentral:rRNA from 1 species
AUUGAACGCUGGCGGCAGGCUUAACACAUGCAAGUCGAGCGGGGGAAGGUAGCUUGCUACCGGACCUAGCGGCGGACGGGUGAGUAAUGCUUAGGAAUCUGCCUAUUAGUGGGGGACAACAUCUCGAAAGGGAUGCUAAUACCGCAUACGUCCUACGGGAGAAAGCAGGGGAUCUUCGGACCUUGCGCUAAUAGAUGAGCCUAAGUCGGAUUAGCUAGUUGGUGGGGUAAAGGCCUACCAAGGCGACGAUCUGGAGCGGGUCUGAGAGGGUGAUCCGCCACACUGGGACUGAGACACGGCCCAGACUCCUACGGGAGGCAGCAGUGGGGAAUAUUGGACAAUGGGGGGAACCCUGAUCCAGCCAUGCCGCGUGUGUGAAGAAGGCCUUAUGGUUGUAAAGCACUUUAAGCGAGGAGGAGGCUACUCUAGUUAAUACCUAGGGAUAGUGGACGUUACUCGCAGAAUAAGCACCGGCUAACUCCGUGCCAGCAGCCGCCGUAA